CCUACGGGCGGCUGCAGUGGGGAAUAUUGGGCAAUGGGCGCAAGCCUGACCCAGCAACGCCGCGUGAAGGAAGAAGGAUUUCGGGUUGUAAACUUCUUUUAAGAGGGAAGAGCAGAAGACGGUACCUCUUGAAUAAGCCACGGCUAACUACGUGCCCGCAGCCGCGGUUAUACGUAGGGGGCAAGCGUUGUCCGGAUUUACUGGGUGUAAAGGGCGUGCAGCCGGGAAGACAAGUCAGAUGUGAAAUCCCGCGGCUUAACCGCAGAACUGCAUUUGAAACUGUUGAGCUGGAGUACUGGAGAGGCAGACGGAAUUCCUAGUGUAGCGGUGAAAUGCGUAGAUAUUAGGAGGAACACCAGUGGCGAAGGCAGUCUGCUGGACAGCAACUGACGGUGAGGCGCGAAAGCGUGGGGAGCAAACAGGAUUAGAUACCCGAGUAGUC
rnacentral:rRNA from 1 species